rnacentral:rRNA from 1 species
CCUACGGGUGGCAGCAGUGAGGAAUAUUGGUCAAUGGUCGCGAGCCUGAACCAGCCAAGUAGCGUGCAGGAUGACUGCCCUACGGGUUGUAAACUUCUUUUAUACAGGGAUAAAGUGCGGCACGUGUGCCUUUUUGUAUGUACUUUAUGAAUAAGGACCGGCUAAUUCCGUGCCAGCAGCCGCGGUAAUACGGAGGAUCCGAGCGUUAUCCGGAUUUAUUGGGUUUAAAGGGAGCGUAGAUGGGAUGUUAAGUCAGUUGUGAAAGUCUGCGGCUCAACCGUAAAAUUGCAGUUGAUACUGGCAGCCUUGAGUACAGUGAAGGUAUGCGGAAUUCGUGGUGUAGCGGUGAAAUGCUUAGAUAUCACGAAGAACUCCGAUUGCGAAGGCAGCUUACUAAACUGCUACUGACACUGAUGCUCGAAAGUGUGGGUAUCAAACAGGAUUAGAUACCCUGGUAGUC